rnacentral:rRNA from 1 species
AGUGAACGCUGGCGGUAGGCCUAACACAUGCAAGUCGAACGGCAGCACAGUAAGAGCUUGCUCUUACGGGUGGCGAGUGGCGGACGGGUGAGGAAUACAUCGGAAUCUACUUUUUCGUGGGGGAUAACGUAGGGAAACUUACGCUAAUACCGCAUACGACCUACGGGUGAAAGCAGGGGAUCUUCGGACCUUGCGCGAUUGAAUGAGCCGAUGUCGGAUUAGCUAGUUGGCGGGGUAAAGGCCCACCAAGUCGACGAUCCGUAGCUGGUCUGGGAGGAUGAUCGGCCACACUGGAACUGGGACACGGUCCAGACUCCUACGGGAGGCAGCAGUGGGGAAUAUUGGACAAUGGGCGCAAGCCUGAUCCAGCCAUACCGCGUGGGUGACGAAGGCCUUCGGGUUGUAAAGCCCUUUUGUUGGGAAAGAAAAGCAGCAGGUUAAUACCCCGCUGUUCUGACGGUACCCAAAGAAUAAGCACCGGCUAACUUCGUG